AGCAGCCGCGGUAAUUCCAGCUCCAAUAGCGUAUAUUAAAGUUGUUGCAGUUAAAAAGCUCGUAAUUGAAUUUCGGGGUUCUACCGUUGGUCAGGCUUUGUCUGUACUGGCGUGUAGAAUUUCUACCUUCUGGGGAACCAUCAUGUUAUUAAUUUAGUGUGAUGGGAAACCAGGACCUUUACCUUGAAAAAUUAGAGUGUUCAAAGCAGGCUUAUGUCUGAAUACAUUAGCAUGGAAUAAUAGAAUAGGACGGUGGUCCUGUUUGUUGGUUUCUGAAUCACCGUAAUGAUUAAUAGGGAUAGUUGGGGGCAUUAGUAUUCAAUUGUCAGAGGUGAAAUUCUUGGAUUUAUUGAAGACUAACUUCUGCGAAAGCAUUUGCCAAGGAUGUUUUCAUUAAUCAAGAACGAAAGUUAGGGGAUCGAAGACGAUCAGAUACCGUGUAGUCUUAACCAUAAACUAUGCCGAC
rnacentral:rRNA from 1 species